GAUGAACGCUAGCUACAGGCUUAACACAUGCAAGUCGCGGGGCAGCAUGGGGGUUGCUUGCAAUCCCCGAUGGCGACCGGCGCACGGGUGAGUAACGCGUAUCCAACCUGCCCUUCACCACGGGAUAACCCGGCGAAAGUCGGACUAAUACCGUAUGUUGUCCAUUGACGGCAUCCGAUUUGGACGAAAGGUUUGGCGGUGAGGGAUGGGGAGGGGUCCGAUUAGGUGGUCGGCGGGGUGGCGGCCGGCCGGGGGGACGGUCGGUAGGGGUUCUGAGAGGAAGGUCCCCCACACUGGAACUGAGACACGGUCCAGACUCCUACGGGAGGCAGCAGUGAGGAAUAGUGGUCAAUGGGCGUAAGCCUGAACCAGCCAAGUAGCGUGCAGGAUGACGGCCCUAUGGGUUGUAAACUGCUUUUAUGCGGGGAUAAAGUGGCCCACGUGUGGGUUUUUGCAGGUACCGCAUGAAUAAGGACCGGCUAAUUCCGU
rnacentral:rRNA from 1 species